rnacentral:tRNA from 1 species
GUGGGUGUAGCUCAGCUGGUUAGAGCGCCAGGUUGUGGCCCUGGAGGUCGUGGGUUCGAAUCCCAUCACUCACCCCA